rnacentral:rRNA from 1 species
GUGGGGAAUAUUGGACAAUGGGGGGAACCCUGAUCCAGCCAUGCCGCGUGUGUGAAGAAGGCCUUUUGGUUGUAAAGCACUUUAAGCGAGGAGGAGGCUACCGAGAUUAAUACUCUUGGAUAGUGGACGUUACUCGCAGAAUAAGCACCGGCUAACUCUGUGCCAGCAGCCGCGGUAAUACAGAGGGUGCAAGCGUUAAUCGGCUUUACUGGGCGUAAAGCGCGCGUAGGUGGCCAAUUAAGUCAAAUGUGAAAUCCCCGAGCUUAACUUGGGAAUUGCAUUCGAUACUGGUUGGCUAGAGUAUGGGAGAGGAUGGUAGAAUUCCAGGUGUAGCGGUGAAAUGCGUAGAGAUCUGGAGGAAUACCGAUGGCGAAGGCAGCCAUCUGGCCUAAUACUGACACUGAGGUGCGAAAGCAUGGGGAGCAAACAGGAUUAGAUACCCCUGUAGUCC